rnacentral:miRNA from 1 species
GCGUUUCGUUCAUAAAAUGAACUUCAUCAGGGGCUUUACAGAGGACUGGAUGCCCCUGAUGAAGUUCAUUUUAUGAACGAAACGC